ACGAUUGUGGUCCAGUUCGUUGCAUGAAUGGAGGAACAUGUACAGAUGGAAUAAACUCCUUUACUUGCGAUUGUGUUGCCGGUUAUACUAACAGUAUCUGCUCAGAAAAUAUCAACGACUGUGAUCCAGAUCCUUGCAUGAAUGGAGGAACUUGUACAGAUGGGAUAAACUCCUUUACCUGUGAUUGUGUUGCUGGUUAUACCGACAGUACCUGCUCUACAGCAAUUGAUCGAUGCUUUUAUGAUGAUCCAUGUGGCGUGAACGAGGAAUGCACAAACACGGACUUGACACAAGUUGGUUAUUAUUGUAAUUGCUCUGGGGGCCUUGAAAGAAGGAAUGACGUCU